rnacentral:rRNA from 1 species
UACGUAGGGUGCGAGCGUUGUCCGGAAUUACUGGGCGUAAAGAGCUCGUAGGUGGUUUGUCGCGUUGUCCGUGAAAACUCACAACUCAAUUGUGGGCGUGCGGGCGAUACGGGCAGACUGGAGUACUGCAGGGGAGACUGGAAUUCCUGGUGUAGCGGUGGAAUGCGUAGAUAUCUGGAGGAACACCGGUGGCGAAGGCGGCAUCCUGGACCGGCAUUGACGCUGAGGCGCGAAAGCCAGGGGAGCAAACGGG